GGGCCGCGAACGUCGCGGAGGCAACAGGCGCCGGACGAGCAGGCGAGCGCGAUGAGCCCGGCGAGGGGCGCCACGACGAGCGAGCCGAACCCAACUCGGAACGACCAGCCACGCCCCAGGCACGGCGGCGGCGACCGCCACCCCUCCGCAAGGUAGCACCUUAGGCCCCGGACGGGCGAGCCGAGCUCGCCGGUCGCUGCUGCGACGCCCGCUGCGAGCCAGAGGGCCGGGCUCUCCCGAGGGAGGCCGGACUAGUAGCCGCAUGCGACGGCUCGCCAAGCAUAGGGGCACGGGAGGGGGAUGGGUCACACCGCGGGCGCCACCGGGGGAGGUCGGUUCCUCGUCAGCGGGGUCGACCCAGCGGAGGUGCGAACCAGCGGCGCCGGACGGGGAGGAGGACGCAGAUGAGGCCAGGGUCGGAGGCGCGAGGACGGCGGCCGGAGGCGCGAGGACGGCGGCCGGGGGCGCCGGCAGCUCGCCCGACGAGGAAAGGGCGUCGGCGGGGAGGGCCGGGGGCGGCGGAGGCGAGCGAGUCGGGUCGCCCACGGUCUCGCCAGAGCCCUCCAUCGUUCGCCGAUGAGACUUAGCUACUUUAACAUAUUGACUACAUAAAAAUAGAUGAACAUACACACUAAAAUGUGUCCAAAGACAUAUGAAUCAAGAAAAAGCUAAAAGGGAAUGGAGGGGUAGCACCAGAGAGUUCCGCUGCAGGGAUCUGAUAAGAGCACAAACUUAUCUACAUACCAUAGCCUGGUCUUUGGUGCACAUAAUGUUCUUCUUCAUGGAGUAAGUAGAAAAUACCACCCAAUAGCAUCCCCUUAGGCUGUGUUCGGUUGAGAGGGAUUUGGCAGGGAUGAUUGAAGUGGAUUUAAUCCUCUACAAGUCAAAACCUCCCUAAAUUCUCUUCAAUCUUUUUGUGGAGGGGUGUAACCGAACAAGGCCUUAGGUAGAAUCGAAAAGCAGCAGUAGAAGGAAGGGGACGAAAAGGAUAGGCCAUGCAGCCCUUGGGAACUGAAAGGGUUGGACUGGAGGUGGCAAGGCAGCGUCGGCAAUCAAACUUACGUACGCCAGCAGCGCCCGCUCUGCUCGCAUCCAUCCCGAUCGAUCCCCAUGUCCUUUUCUCGUGGUGGUGCUCCUCCUGCGUAGCUAGCUGUGCGAGCACGUACGUGUCACCCCCCACCUCCUCCCUCCCUCCCUCCCUCCCUCCUUAUUUAGCACGACACCUCCCUCUUCCUCCUCUGCAUCCACGGCAACAGCUUCCUCUUCCUCCUGAGACCCACCCUUCGCUAGCUCCUAGCUGCAUCUGCUGCUAAGUUCCAGCACCGCGCUGUCUGCUAGCUCGUCGCGUUGAAGGUCGUCCAAGAGCAUUUUGAAGGUUGACAGUAACCUUCGGUUGUUGGAAGAUGUAUCGGGCCAAGAGAGCUGCAUUGUCACCAAAGGUGAAGCGCCGUGUCGGCAAGUAUGAGCUCGGCCGCACAAUCGGGGAAGGGACCUUUGCAAAGGUCAGGUUUGCAAAGAACACUGAAACUAUGGAGCCUGUUGCUAUCAAAAUCCUCGAUAAGGAGAAGGUUCAGAAGCUCAGAUUGGUUGAACAGAUUAGGCGCGAAAUUUGUACUAUGAAGUUAAUAAAGCAUCCUAAUGUUGUUCGACUGCACGAGGUGAUGGGAAGUAAAGCCAGAAUUUUUAUUGUUCUGGAAUACAUUACUGGAGGGGAACUCUUUGAUACCAUUUAUACCAAUGGAAGGUUGAAAGAAGAGGAAGCACGCAAAUACUUUCAACAGCUGAUAAACGCUGUUGACUAUUGCCACAGUAGGGGUGUGUAUCACAGAGAUUUGAAGUUAGAAAAUUUGUUGCUUGAUGCUGCUGGAAAUCUCAAAGUGUCCGACUUUGGUUUAAGUGCUUUAACUGAGCAAGUGAAGGCUGAUGGGUUGCUGCACACAACAUGCGGAACUCCGAACUAUGUUGCUCCUGAGGUGAUUGAGGAUAGAGGUUAUGAUGGUGCAGCUGCAGAUAUCUGGUCUUGCGGGGUAAUCCUUUUUAUUCUGCUUGCCGGGUUUUUACCUUUCGAGGAUGAAAACAUCAUCGCCCUUUAUAAGAAGAUCUCAGAAGCUCAAUUCACAUGUCCCUCUUGGUUUUCUACUGGAGCUAAGAAGCUGAUCACCAGAAUUCUGGACCCAAAUCCUGCAACUCGUAUCACCAUUCCUCAGAUACUGGAGGAUCCUUGGUUCAAAAAAGGAUUCAAGCCACCUGUUUUUGACGAUAAGUAUGAAACUAGCUUCGAUGAUGUCUAUGCUGCAUUUGGAGACUCAGAGGACCAGCAUGUGAAAGAGGAGACUGAACAUAAGCCAACCUCAAUGAAUGCAUUUGAACUGAUUUCACUGAAUCAGGGACUGAAUCUGGACAAUUUGUUCGAGGCAAAGGAGGAGCAUAAAAGAGAGACACGAUUCACCUCGCAAUGCCCUCCAAAAGAAAUCAUCAGCAAGAUUGCAGAAGCUGCAAGGCCACUUGGUUUUGACAUUCAGAAGAAAAACUACAAGAUGCGGAUGGAGAACCCGAAAGCAGGUAGAAAAGGCAAUCUCAAUGUUGCAACCGAGGUUUUUCAAGUAGCUCCAUCCCUACAUGUGGUUGAGCUGAAAAAGGCGAAGGGGGAUACUCUGGAAUUUCAAAUGUUCUACAGAUCUCUCUCAACCCAGCUCAAGGACGUAGUUUGGAAGUGCGGCGGCGAGGUAGAAGAUAACAGCACCGUGGCAUGAAGCACAAUUUUCCAUGUACAUAGUCCCUAGUUCAUAUGUGGGAUGGAUGGUGGGUGUUGGCUGCGGAUUGGGUUGUGCAGACCGAGUUCUUUCGUUCGUUUGUUGAUGAUGAUGACGAUGAAUAGGCUCCGAUGAAACAGCGGGCGCACAGCCCGCUGUGGAAGAGCCUAUCUAUGGCUUCGUUAGUUUGCUUGCUGAUAUAUUCAUGGUCCAGAGGGAGAUUAAAGCGAGAGGCGAAAGGCCGUAUUGUUCUAAGAUUGUAUUGAUAGGAGGUUAUACUGAACAGCUCAAUGUGUUGAACUUUGUUCUGUACUCUACUUAGCAUUGUACUGUAGUACCUAUAGCCGGGGAGAUAUCAUAUCUCUUAGUCUGUAGUAUCAGAUUCUAAAUAAAUAAAUAAACUGCUGAUCCUUGUCGGCGAUGCUGCGUGUGUGAAGGAAGGAG
rnacentral:rRNA from 1 species